AUUCUUUUGUGGCUCAUAAGCUUGGGAUUUUCACACUAAACAUUUUAACUCAAGAUUGGGACUUCACACUAAUCUGUGAGAUGUGCCUCCCUCAAACUUUGCUAUAGUAUUGGCACAUUACCCAUCUCACA
ensembl:snoRNA